CCAGGACUAAACCAGGACUAAACCAGGUCUAAACCAGGACUAAACCAGGUCUAAACCAGGACUAAAUCAGGACUAAACCAGGACUAAACCAGGACUAAACCAGGUCUAAACCAGGUCUAAACCAGGUCUAAACCAGGACUAAAUCAGGACUAAACCAGGUCUAAACCAGGACUAAACCAGGUCUAAACCAGGACUAAACCAGGACUAAACCAGGACUAAACCAGGACUAAACCAGGUCUAAACCAGGACUAAACCAGGACUAAACCAGGACUAAACCAGGACUAAAGCAGGACUAAACCAGGACUAAACCAGGACUAAACCAGGACUAAAGCAGGACUAAACCAGGACUAAACCAGGACUAAAGCAGGACUAGACCAGGACUAAAGCAGGACUAAACCAGGACUAAACCAG
ensembl:lncRNA